rnacentral:rRNA from 1 species
GCCGACCAGCUAGCCCACCCCAACAAAAACAACAACCCAAUAUAAAUAACCCCAAACACACAACUCCUCCUAUAAACAAACCAUUUUUCCCCCUUAGUAUGGGCGACAGAAAAGGAACUAUUGGAGCGAUAGAGAAAGUACCGCAAGGGAAAGCUGAAAGAGAAAUGAAAUAACCCAGUAAAGCCUAAAAAAGCAGAGAUCUAACCUCU